rnacentral:rRNA from 1 species
UACGAAGGUUGCAAGCGUUACUCGGAAUUACUGGGCGUAAAGCGUGCGUAGGUGGUUCGUUAAGUCUGAUGUGAAAGCCCUGGGCUCAACCUGGGAAUGGCAUUGGAAACUGGCGACCUAGAGUGCGGUAGAGGGUAGUGGAAUUCCCGGUGUAGCAGUGAAAUGCGUAGAGAUCGGGAGGAACAUCCGUGGCGAAGGCGACUACCUGGACCAGUAUUGACGCUGAGGAGCGAAAGCGUGGGGAGCGAACAGG